rnacentral:misc_RNA from 1 species
UCAAACUUGGUCAUUUAGAGGAAGUAAAAGUCGUAACAAGGUUUCCGUAGGUGAACCUGCGGAAGGAUCAUUAAGGAUGGGUUUUUUUGGGUACGUGUACCUGAUACCUAUGUAUGUGAAUGGGAUGAUAUUGGAGAAGGAGUGGCGGAUAGGUUCCUGUGGCUUGUUUUGCCUGGGACGGUCUGACUGGGUUUGCGCCAGCAGACAGCCAGGGAUAGAGUGGAGCGGUAGUUUAUGAUAUAUGAUGAAAAACUAUUAACGAUGGAUCCCUCGGCUCUCGCAUCGAUGAAGAACGCAGC